rnacentral:tRNA from 5 species
GGGGCUAUAGCUCAGAUGGUAGAGCAUCUGCUUUGCACGCAGAGGGUCAGCGGUUCGAUCCCGCUUAGCUCCA